rnacentral:lncRNA from 1 species
AUAUAUGUGUGUCUUGCAUGCUGUUUUUUGUUUCAGAUGUUGUGAUUUCUGUGUCCUCCCUCAACCAAUUAGGGCCUUGAAUCCACCUUUAUUUUCCUUUUGAUAUGGUUCGGAAAGCUAUCUCAUCUUACCGGAUCAUGCAUGAGGAGUACUGUGAUGUGUCUACCUAAAUAAACCUGCAUGGGGAUUGUGAAUUGUGAUAUACCUGUCUAAAUAAACCCCGAAAGGCAGUGAGGGAAAGAAAAGAAGAAUGCAGUAUUUGCACCCUUCUUUUUUCUGUUGUUAAAUGCUAUGUGAACCUGUUUCAUGAUGUGAGAUUACAUUGGGUUAGUAGAGGCUUUGAUUUGAA